UGCAGUCGAGGGGUACAGGGUCUUCGGAUCGCUGACGACCGGCGCACGGGUGAGUAACGCGUAUGCAACCUACCUGUAGCUAAGGGAUAGCCCGGAGAAAUCCGGAUUAAUACCUUAUAAUAUUAUUUAAUCUCCUGAUUUUAUAAUUAAAGUUCCGACGGCUACGGAUGGGCAUGCGUGACAUUAGCUUGUUGGUGAGGUAACAGCUCACCAAGGCAACGAUGUCUAGGGGGUCUUAAAGGAUGGUCCCCCACACUGGUACUGAGACACGGACCAGACUCCUACGGGAGGCAGCAGUGAGGAAUAUUGGUCAAUGGGCGAAAGCCUGAACCAGCCAAUCCGCGUGCAGGAUGAAUGCCCUAUGGGUUGUAAACUGCUUUUAUACAGGAAGAACUUCCCCGACGUGUCGGGGCCUGACUGUACUGUAUGAAUAAGCAUCGGCUAACUCCGUGCCAGCAGCCGCGGUAAUACG
rnacentral:rRNA from 1 species